UCUCUCUCACAUUUCUCUCUUGCUCAUGACAAGAAAGGAGCCGGCCAUGACUUGAAAUUCGGCCAGCCCCUCCUCUUCAUUUCCUUCUCUUGCAAGCCUUGCCUCCCAACUACCCCAACAAAUAAAUGGGCAGCCACCCACCUUAGCCAAUCAAAAUGGAGGCAGCCACCAUCCUCCCUCUAUAUAAGAGCUUGGCUUGCCACCUCCACUCCCCUUGGCUCAUUUCUUUCACACUCCACUCCCUCAUACCUUCCUCCCCCUUCCUCCCCACGAGCUGCUGCUCCUCCUUAGCUCCAUGGCCAGCCAUGGCCAUGGAAAGCCACCAAGAUGGAGCUCCCCUCCUCCCUCAAGCUUCCCCUCACCAUGAGAGCAUCUCUCUCCCUCUCUUCUCCCCUAAUCUUUGAUGAGUCCAGCUCACUUUAUCCUUUCUCCUCUCACUAAAUUGGAUCUUGAUGCAGGUGCAUGUUGGUCCAAGCAUGGAGAAGGUUGAGCUAUCCUCAGAUCUGAAGUUCUUGAGCAAAAUCCAAAUUGAGUGAUUCAAAGUUCCACAGAUAGGUACUGGAAAGAUCUACAACUUGGCGUUGGUCUCAUCCUCAAAUUAGUUACGGAUUUUGCAUGAUCAAGAUCUGGUCAGAUCUAACUUUGUCGAAUUAAACCAGGAGCUUGGGAACGAAUUUUUGAAUGAAACCAAUUGGGGGAUAAUUGGUUUAUACCAUGGUGAUAAACGAGAGAGGCAAUUGCUAAGUUGUGAUGCACUCAUACCUUUACUAGAUUCGAACAUUAUCGGGUUUGAAGGAGAGGAAGGAUUUGAAGAAUUUGAAGAAGUCCAGGGACAAAUAAGCCAACCAAG